GAUUAACGCUAGCGGCAGGCCUAAUACAUGCAAGUCGAACGGCAGCACGGGUAGCAAUACCUGGUGGCGAGUGGCGCACGGGUGCGUAACGCGUAUGCAAUCUACCUAUAACUGGGAAGUAGCCUUCCGAAGGAAGAUUAAUACGCAUAAUAUCACGAGGCGGCAUCGUUUUGUUGAUCAAAUACUCCGGAGGUUAUAGAUGAGCAUGCGUGACAUAGUCUAGUUGG
rnacentral:rRNA from 1 species